GACGAACGCUGGCGGCGUGCUUAACACAUGCAAGUCGAACGGAAAGGCCCUGCUUUUGUGGGGGGCUCGAGUGGCGAACGGGUGAGUAACACGUGAGUAACCUGCCCUGGACUUUGGGAUAACUUCAGGAAACUGGGGCUAAUACCGGAUAGGAGCUCCUGCUGCAUGGUGGGGGUUGGAAAGUUUCGGCGGUUGGGGAUGGACUCGCGGCUUAUCAGCUUGUUGGUGGGGUAGUGGCUUACCAAGGCUUUGACGGGUAGCCGGCCUGAGGGGGUGACCGGCCACAUUGGGACUGAGAUACGGCCCAGACUCCUACGGGAGGCAGCAGUGGGGAAUAUUGCACAAUGGGCGGAAGCCUGAUGAAGCAACGCCGCGUGCGGGAUGACGGCCUUCGGGUUGUAAACCGCUUUCGCCUGUGACGAAGCGUGAGUGACGGUAAUGGGUAAAGAAGCACCGGCUAACUACGUG
rnacentral:rRNA from 1 species